rnacentral:rRNA from 1 species
CGCGGUAAUACGGAGGGUGCAAGCGUUACUCGGAAUCACUGGGCGUAAAGCGCAUGCAGGCGGUUAAAUAAGUUGGAAGUGAAAUCCUAUGGCUCAACCAUAGAACUGCUUCCAAAACUGUUUAACUAGAGUCUGGGAGGGGAAGGUGGAAUUAGUAGUGUAGGGGUAAAAUCCGUAGAGAUUACUAGGAAUACCAAAAGCGAAGGCGAUCUUCUGGAACAGUACUGACGCUGAGAUGCGAAAGCGUGGGGAGCAAACAGGAUUAGAUACCCUGGUAGUCCACGCAGUAAACGAUGAAUGUUAGUCGUUGGGACUCUAGUAGUUUCAGUGAUGCAGUUAACACAUUAAACAUUCCGCCUGGGGAGUACGGUCGCAAGAUUAAAACUCAAAGGAAUAGACGGGGACCCGCACAAGUGGUGGAGCAUGUGGUUUAAUUCGAAGAUACGCGAAGAACCUUACCUAGCCUUGACAUAUUUUGGAAUUCAUCAGAGAUGGAGAAGUGCCUUCGGGAGCCAAUUUACAGGUGCUGCACGGCUGUCGUCAGCUCGUGUCGUGAGAUGUUGGGUUAAGUCCCGCAACGAGCGCAACCCUCGUCACUAGUUACUAACGAUUCGGUCGAGGACUCUAGUGAGACUGCCUUCGUAAGGAGGAGGAAGGUGAGGACGACGUCAAGUCAUCAUGGCCCUUACGGCUAGGGCAACACACGUGCUACAAUGGUUAGGACAAUGAGAAGCAAUAUCGCGAGGUGGAGCAAAUCUAUAAACCUAAUCUCAGUUCGGAUUGUAGUCUGCAACUCGACUACAUGAAGCUGGAAUCACUAGUAAUCGUAGAUCAGCUAUGCUACGGUGAAUACGUUCCCGGGUCUUGUACUCACCGCCCGUCACACCAUGGGAGUUGAUUUCACCCGAAGCGGGGAAGCUAAAC